GAUGAAGAACGUAGCGAAAUGCGAUAAGUAGUGUGAAUUGCAGAAUUACCUGAAUCAUCGAAUCUUUGAACGCACAUUGCGCCCCCUGGUAUUCCUGGGGGCAUGCCUGUUCGAGCGUCAUUAACAACCAAUCGGGCGGGGCUUUUGCAUGCUCCCGCUCGGCCAUGGGGGAUGGACGUCGUCGGACGCCCACCCCCGAAAUGCAACGGCGGACGGCCACCCGUGGCACUGCGGCGUAGUAAGUUAACCCUUCGCGCGCGCCCACGGAGUGGACUGCGCGGCCGCUUGAACCCCCACACAUCCUACGGUUGACCUCGGAUCAGGUAGGGAUACCCGCUGAACUUAAGCAUAUCAAUAAGCGGAGGA
rnacentral:misc_RNA from 1 species